rnacentral:rRNA from 1 species
UUGACUAAGGUUUCCAGAGGAAGGCUCGUCCGCUCUGGGUUAGUCGGGUCCUAAGCUGAGGCCGACAGGCGUAGGCGAUGGAUAACAGGUUGAUAUUCCUGUACCACCUAUAAUCGUUUUAAUCGAUGGGGGGACGCAGUAGGAUAGGCGAAGCGUGCGAUUGGAUUGCACGUCUAAGCAGUAAGGCUGAGUAUUAGGCAAAUCCGGUACUCGUUAAGGCUGAGCUGUGAUGGGGAGAAGACAUUGAGUCUUCGAGUCGUUGAUUUCACACUGCCGAGAAAAGCCUCUAGAUAGAAAAUAGGUGCCCGUACCGCAAACCGACACAGGUAGUCAAGAUGAGAAUUCUAAGGUGAGCGAGCGAACUCUCGUUAAGGAACUCGGCAAAAUGACCCCGUAACUUCGGGAGAAGGGGUGCUCUUUAGGGUUAACGCCCAGAAGAGCCGCAGUGAAUAGGCCCAAGCGACUGUUUAUCAAAAACACAGGUCUCUGCUAAACCGUAAGGUGAUGUAUAGGGGCUGACGCCUGCCCGGUGCUGGAAGGUUAAGAGGAGUGGUUAGCUUCUGCGAAGCUACGAAUCGAAGCCCCAGUAAACGGCGGCCGUAACUAUAACGGUCCUAAGGUAGCGAAAUUCCUUGUCGGGUAAGUUCCGACCCGCACGAAAGGCGUAACGAUUUGGGCACUGUCUCAACGAGAGACUCGGUGAAAUCAUAGUACCUGUGAAGAUGCAGGUUACCCGCGACAGGACGGAAAGACCCCGUGGAGCUUUACUGUAGCCUGAUAUUGAAAUUCGGCACAGCUUGUACAGGAUAGGUAGGAGCCUUUGAAACGUGAGCGCUAGCUUACGUGGAGGCGCUGGUGGGAUACUACCCUAGCUGUGUUGGCUUUCUAACCCGCACCACUUAUCGUGGUGGGAGACAGUGUCAAGCGGGCAGUUUGACUGGGGCGGUCGCCUCCUAAAAGGUAACGGAGGCGCUCAAAGGUUCCCUCAGAAUGGUUGGAAAUCAUUCAUAGAGUGUAAAGGCAUAAGGGAGCUUGACUGCGAGACCUACAAGUCGAGCAGGGUCGAAAGACGGACUUAGUGAUCCGGUGGUUCCGCAUGGAAGGGCCAUCGCUCAACGGAUAAAAGCUACCCCGGGGAUAACAGGCUUAUCUCCCCCAAGAGUUCACAUCGACGGGGAGGUUUGGCACCUCGAUGUCGGCUCAUCGCAUCCUGGGGCUGUAGUCGGUCCCAAGGGUUGGGCUGUUCGCCCAUUAAAGCGGUACGCGAGCUGGGUUCAGAACGUCGUGAGACAGUUCGGUCCCUAUCCGUCGUGGGCGUAGGAAAUUUGAGAGGAGCUGUCCUUAGUACGAGAGGACCGGGAUGGACAUACCUCUGGUGUACCAGUUGUCGUGCCAACGGCAUAGCUGGGUAGCUAUGUGUGGACGGGAUAAGUGCUGAAAGCAUCUAAGCAUGAAGCCCCCCUCAAGAUGAGAUUUCCCAACUUC